rnacentral:rRNA from 1 species
AUUGAACGCUGGCGGCAUGCCUUACACAUGCAAGUCGAACGGCAGCACGGGUGCUUGCACCUGGUGGCGAGUGGCGAACGGGUGAGUAAUACAUCGGAACAUGUCCUGUAGUGGGGGAUAGCCCGGCGAAAGCCGGAUUAAUACCGCAUACGAUCUACGGAUGAAAGCGGGGGCCCUUCGGGCCUCGCGCCAUAGGGUUGGCCGAUGGCUGAUUAGCUAGUUGGUGGGGUAAAGGCCUACCAAGGCGACGAUCAGUAGCUGGUCUGAGAGGACGACCAGCCACACUGGGACUGAGACACGGCCCAGACUCCUACGGGAGGCAGCAGUGGGGAAUUUUGGACAAUGGGCGAAAGCCUGAUCCAGCAAUGCCGCGUGUGUGAAGAAGGCCUUCGGGUUGUAAAGCACUUUUGUCCGGAAAGAAAUCCUUGGCCCUAAUACGGUCGGGGGAUGACGGUACCGGAAGAAUAAGCACCGGCUAACUACGUG